UAAAGGGGAAAAAGGAAAAACAUAUAUAUGUAUAACAUAUACAUAUUCUAAUAAUAUAGGAAAGUUACCCCCCAGGAGAACCCAGAGUAAAAUCUUUGUUUUCCUUUCGUUAAGACAAAAACAACUAGAGCGUCUGCUAAGUUUUGGUAGUUCCUGGAGGCAGUUUUGCACCUCACGGGUUUUUGGGGCGUGUAUGUGUGUUUCCUCUUAAAUACGCAAAACCAGAUAGGGAAUUUAAAAGAUACCAGGUGUGGAGUGCUAGUGGAAAAGGGGUGGCUGGGAGCCCACUUCUGGUAUCAGCAAGCCUAGGAGGAGAGGAGUUUGAACUUUAUUUCCUGGCGAAUAGCAUUCCCCCCUGCGUGGGGCGAGAUGUGUGCUGGAGAUGGGGGUUGUGCGGUGGGGGAUGGGGGAAGGGACGGUGGGUGCAGUAGUCAAAGGGGGAGGGAAGAAAGAAACCAAUGGGAGAAGUGCUGAGCAAUCCGUCGGAUUUGGGGCGGGGGGGUGUAGGGGAGUAAAGAAUAAAAAAGAAACGGAAAAAUAAAAAAAGAAAGAAAAAGAAAGGAAGAAUAAAAUGAUGCCUGGUCUCUUCUAGGAGUCAAGGAGCAAGCUUUUCUUCACUACUCACGAGCGAUUCCUUUCUCCUCCUUCUCACCCUUUGCCCCCUAUUCCCAGAGAAGAAAACCUCGGGGUCCCGGUUUCUUGCCGUGUGACGUGCCUGACCCGCUAGUCCUGAUUAUUUAUAGAAGGUGGAGGGGGGGCGAGGGGAGCAGAAAGGCAACGCUGUCUCUCCAGGUUUCGGUCUGAUUCUGCAUUGGGAAAUUAUUAGUGGGGAGGGUGGGGUUUGGAUGAGGGGGGUGAUGGGACAGCAAGCCUGGGGAACGCGGGUGGCUAGCGCCUGACCCCGGGUGCCGGGGGCAAGAGGGCUGGAGCGGCGAUACAGUGCAGCAGGGACAGGUAGCCCUGGGGGGGCGCCCCAGGCGGACACCCCCCCACACGGCCCCUCGGAGCACGCGCACAGGCGCGCGCACGUGCAGGCACUCUCCCAAUCCGCCUCCCGCCCCUCCUUACCUCCCGGGCCUGCGCCCGCCGCCCACUCUUGCCGCGGGCGGAGCCGGCCCCCCGGAGCUCUGUCCCAGCUGGAGAGGGCCAGUGGCGGCAGAAUCAACACUAGAACUUCUCUCUGGAAGACUGAUAACACCGCCUGGGCAUGUGAAAAUUGGAACAAUAAUGUGCAAGGGAGGGCACUGCUGA
rnacentral:lncRNA from 1 species